rnacentral:rRNA from 1 species
AUUGAACGCUGGCGGCAGGCCUAACACAUGCAAGUCGAACGAGUGGCGGACGGGUGAGUAAUGUCUAGGAAACUGCCCGAUGGAGGGGGAUCACUACUGGAAACGGUCGCUAAUACCGCAUACCCUCGGAUGUGCCCAGAGGGGAUUAGCUAGUAGGUGGGGUAAUGGCUCACCUAGGCGAGGAUCCCUAGCUGGUCUGAGAGGCUGACCGCCCCAACGGGAACUGAGAAACGGCCCAGACUCCUACGGGAGGCAGAAUGGGGAAAUAUUGCACAAGGGGGGAAAGCCUGAGGCAGACAUGCCGGGGGGAUGAAGAAGGCUUGCGGGUUGUAAAGUCUGUUCAGCGAGGAGGCGGUACUCGCAGAAGAAGCACCGGCUAACUCCGUGCCAGCAGCCGCGGUAAUAC